rnacentral:rRNA from 1 species
UACGGGGGGGGCAAGCGUUGUUCGGAAUUACUGGGCGUAAAGGGCUCGUAGGCGGCCAACUAAGUCAGACGUGAAAUCCCCAGGCUCAACCUGGGAACUGCAUCCGAUACUGGAUGGCUUGAGUUCGGGAGAGGGAUGCGGAAUUCCAGGUGUAGCGGUGAAAUGCGUAGAUAUCUGGAGGAACACCGGUGGCGAAGGCGGCAUCCUGGACCGAUACUGACGCUGAGGAGCGAAAGCCAGGGGAGCAAACGGG